GGCUGUGGCAGUUAGACAUGUAAAUUGUGUCCAGUGAUUGGUCUAGGUAAUAUGUUUUUAAAGUUAAUAUAAUUACCAUAUACAGCUGUUUGUUUACGGUUUAUAUGUGGAUUAAUUUCUCACCUGGAAUCUGCUGGAUAACACACCCUGCCUCUACUACUUCCUAUGGAGAGCCAAAAGCUCUUACACAGUUGGCAAUACCAAGCAACUUGGCAGAUUUUACAACAUACUAUAUACAGAUUUCUUUCAGGGACUAGAAAUGAAACAUUAUUUCCUGUCGUAUACAUUGACAAACAUACAAACAACGUUACACACAAACACAAAUAUAAUGACUUAUAGAUGUACUGUUACAAUCACUAACAAACACACACUGUCACGCACACUUACAAGCAGUCACUGACACACUGACUGACUCAAGCACUUAAUGUAACACACAGAUACACAAAUUCACUGACACCAGCAUGCAUUGUCAAAUACUUCCUCUGACACAGUAACACAAAAACUCAAUGAAUCUAGCACUCACUGACAUGCACUCAUUGCAUAUUUCACUUUCCCGUAAGCUCUUUCUUGCCAGUAGUUGUGCGGACUGAGGUUGGUGUUCAUAGUAAGAAACUGCUUCUCAUGUAUAUACAAGUCUCGGCUGCUGGAGACUGAUGUCAGACUUCAGUAUGAUGUGGGGUACAGUGUGUGGGAGCAAUUGGCAUAUCUUUGAAUUCACACUUGGCCACCCCUCAGUGGCUCUGUUCGAAGGCCAAAUGUGCAAAGAUUUCUCCAGCUAGAGUGAGCCACAGGGAAAUGGCCCAGUUUCUUGGUUGGCCAGUCCGGCCUGGUGCUAGCCUCCUGAUUAAAGCCGAUGCAGUGAUAGUUAAUAUCCAUUGCCUCUUUUUAAUAGUUCUUGGGUCACUAACAGCCUUCCACCCAUAAACAGGAAAGUUAAAUAAUUAUCACAUACUGACAGUAUACAUAAGGUCCACAUACU